GGACAACGUUUCGAAAGGAACGCUAAUACCGCAUACGUCCUACGGGAGAAAGCAGGGGACCUUCGGGCCUUGCGCUAUCAGAUGAGCCUAGGUCGGAUUAGCUAGUUGGUGAGGUAAUGGCUCACCAAGGCGACGAUCCGUAACUGGUCUGAGAGGAUGAUCAGUCACACUGGAACUGAGACACGGUCCAG
rnacentral:rRNA from 1 species